rnacentral:rRNA from 1 species
CAAUAGCGUAUAUUAAAGUUGUUGCAGUUAAAAAGCUCGUAGUUGGAAGGGGGGUGAAUGUGGGUGGUCAUUGCAGUCGAAAGACGUAGACGGGCCUGCACACCAAGUUUGUAUAGUGGGGGUUGGAGAGCAUUGAGUUGCUGUGCCGCCCUGUUAGUGCUGUACAUCGUUUACUGUGAAAAAAUUAGAGUGUUCAAAGCAGGCGUUGAUUUGCCGCUGAAUACAUUAGCAUGGAAUAAUAAGAUACGACUUUGGUGGAACAUUUUGUGAUGUUGUAGUCUUGUUGGUUUGCACGCCAAGGUAAUGAUUAAUAGGGUCAGUCGGGGGUAUCCAUAUGUAAUUGUCAGAGGUGAAAUUCUUGGAUUUAUGACAGAUGAACGACUGCGAAAGCAUUUACCAAGGAUGUUUUCAUUAA